GACUGACCGAUAGUGAACCAGUACCGUGAGGGAAAGGCGAAAAGAACCCCGGCGAGGGGAGUGAAAAAGAACCUGAAACCGUGUACGUACAAGCAGUGGGAGCCCCACCACCAAAGCAUUCUCUGGUGUUGAAGGCCCUGCAAAGCAGCAUCGCGGUGGCGGAGCGUCGUUUGCGACGCCCAACACACAAAACAAGCGGUGAGUGCUUUGGGGUGGGGUGACUGCGUACCUUUUGUAUAAUGGGUCAGCGACUUAUAUUCUGUAGCAAGGUUAACCG
rnacentral:rRNA from 1 species